GACUAGCCUGGCAAAAGCACCAUCUAAGUGAUUUCCAUAGCACCAAAGUAGUUUGGCAUCCGAUUCAUUUCUUAUUCUUUAAUAUAUUCCAAAAAACAUUAACAAUUCGUUGAUCUAGUCAUAUAAGGUUCAAAUAAAUCCUAAAGUAUUUUAUUAAAUUGAAGAUUAAAUAUUCAAUUCUAGUAACAAUAUUUAUUAGGAGGGGCAUACACG
rnacentral:lncRNA from 1 species